GCGCGUAAAUUGCCCGAAUCCUGACACAGGGAGGUAGUGACAAGAAAUAACAAUACAGGGCUACAUCUAGUCUUGUAAUUGGAAUGAGUACAAUUUACAUCUCUUCACGAGGAUCAAUUGGAGGGCAAGUCUGGUGCCAGCAGCCGCGGUAAUUCCAGCUCCAAUAGCGUAUAUUAAAGUUGUUGCAGUUAGAACGCUCGUAGUCGGAUUUCGGGGCGGGCCGACCGGUCUGCCGAUGGGUACGCACUGGUCGGCGCGUCCUUCCUUCCGGAGACCGUGCCUACUCUUAACUGAGCGGGGGCGGGAGACGGAUCGUUUACUUUGAAAAAAUCAGAGUGUUUCAAGCAGGCAGCUCGCUCUUGCAUGGAUUAGCAUGGGAUAAUAAAAUAGGACUUUGGUGCUAUUUUGUUGGUUUCGAACACCGAAGUAAUGAUUAAAAGGGACAGUCAGGGGCACUCGUAUUCC
rnacentral:rRNA from 1 species